rnacentral:tRNA from 1 species
GGAGAUUUAGCUCAGUGGUAGAGUGCUUGCCUAGCAAGCGAAAGGCCCUGGGUUCGGUCCCCAGCUCUG